rnacentral:rRNA from 1 species
CCUACGGGGGGCAGCAGUGAGGAAUAUUGGUCAAUGGACGAGAGUCUGAACCAGCCAAGUCGCGUGAAGGAUGACUGCCCUAUGGGUUGUAAACUUCUUUUAUAUGGGAAUAAAACAGGGUACGCGUACCCUCCUGUAUGUACCCUAUGAAUAAGGAUCGGCUAACUCCGUGCCAGCAGCCGCGGUAAUACGGAGGAUCCGAGCGUUAUCCGGAUUUAUUGGGUUUAAAGGGUGCGUAGGUGGAUUGUUAAGUCAGGUGUGAAAGGUUGGGGCUCAACCGUAAAAUUGCAGUUGAAACUGGCAGUCUUGAGUACAGUAGAGGUAGGCGGAAUGCGUGGUGUAGCGGUGAAAUGCUUAGAUAUCACGAAGAACUCCGAUUGCGAAGGCAGCUUACUGGACUGCAACUGACGCUGAGGCUCGAAAGUGUGGGUAUCAAACAGGAUUAGAUACCCGGGUAGUC